UGGUCCUACGGGAGGCAGCAGUGGGGAAUAUUGCACAAUGGGGGAAACCCUGAUGCAGCGACGCCGCGUGAGUGAAGAAGUAUUUCGGUAUGUAAAGCUCUAUCAGCAGGGAAGAAAAAAGACGGUACCUGACUAAGAAGCCCCGGCUAACUACGUGCCAGCAGCCGCGGUAAUACGUAGGGGGCAAGCGUUAUCCGGAUUUACUGGGUGUAAAGGGAGCGUAGACGGCAUGGCAAGUCUGAAGUGAAAGCCCGGGGCUCAACCGCGGGACUGCUUUGGAAACUGUUAAGCUGGAGUGCAGGAGG
rnacentral:rRNA from 1 species